AGAAUUUGUGACACUUAAAAGCAAUUUAUUAACUCAAUUUCUUGGUGUACGGACAAACCGUGCGAACAGAUAAUAAAAUGUUAAUUGAAAUUUUAUUAAAAUUAAUUAGAAUGUUUCUGUGUGUAAUAUUACGUUGCGCAUAUAGAUGCCCCAUUUGAGCAGAAGAAAUAAAUUUCUAUCGAAUCAGUUUAAGUUGCGUCAGGUACUGUUUGAU
rnacentral:lncRNA from 1 species